GCCAGGCACAGUACCUCACAGUGCCUGUAGUACCAGCUACUCUGGAGGCUAAGGCUGGAGGAUCUCUUGAGCCCAGGAGUUCUGGGCUGUGGUGCGCUAUGCUGAUUGGGUGUCUGCGCUAAGUUUGGUAUCAGUAUGGUGACCUCCUGGGAGCAGGGGACCACCAGGUUGCCUAAGGAGGGGUGAACCAGCCCAGGUUGGAAACGGAGCAGGUCAAAACUCCCAUGCUGAUCAGCAGUGGGAUCUCGCCUGUGAAUAGCCACUGCACUCCAGCCUGGGCAACAUAGCGAGACCCCGUCUCUU
ensembl:misc_RNA Metazoa_SRP Metazoan signal recognition particle RNA